rnacentral:rRNA from 1 species
UGAGGAAUAUUGCGCAAUGGAGGAAACUCUGACGCAGCCAUGCCGCGUGCAGGAAGACUGCCCUAUGGGUUGUAAACUGCUUUUAUAUAGGAAGAACUACAGCUACGUGUAGCUGUUUGACGGUACUAUACGAAUAAGGACCGGCUAACUCCGUGCCAGCAGCCGCGGUAAUACGGAGGGUCCAAGCGUUAUCCGGAUUUAUUGGGUUUAAAGGGUCCGUAGGCGGGUUAUUAAGUCAGUGGUGAAAUCCUACAGCUCAACUGUAGAACUGCCAUUGAAACUGAUAACCUUGAGUAUAAUUGAAGUGGGCGGAAUGUGUCAUGUAGCGGUGAAAUGCUUAGAUAUGCCACAGAACACCGAUUGCGAAGGCAGCUCACUAAAUUAUAACUGACGCUGAGGGACGAAAGCGUGGGUAGCGAACAGG